CGCCUGUUUACCAAAAACAUGGCUUCGUGUUAAACCGUAAAAUACGAAGUCGGACCUGCCCAGUGAAUUUUAAACGGCCGCGGUACUCUGCCCGUGCAAAGGUAGCAUAAUCAUUUGCCUUAUAAUUGAAGGCUGGAAUGAAUGGUUUGACAAGAAUACAUCUGUCUCUUUUUGAUUUCCUAGAAUUUUAUUUUUGGAUGAAAAAGUCCAGAUAUUAUUAAAAGACAAGAAGACCCUAUCGAGCUUUAGAAAAAUUCAAUGGACUCAAUAACAAUCAAUAGAAAUAAAAGAAGAGCCAUUAAGUGUACUUUGGUUGGGGCAACCGAGGAGCAAAUAAAGCCUCCUUUAAUCUUUAAGUCAGACGUGUGUUGAUCCAAAACUAUUGAUCAAAGGAAUUAGUUACCGUAGGGAUAACAGCAUUAUCUUUUUUGAGAGCCCAUAUCGAAAAAAAGGUUUGUGACCUCGAUGUUGGACCAGAAUAUCCUAAAGAUGCAGAAGUCUUUAAGGGUUGGUCUGUUCGACCAUUAAAAUUCUACGUGAUCUGAGUUCAGACCGGGA
rnacentral:rRNA from 1 species